rnacentral:tRNA from 1 species
CAAAACAAUACCUUUUAGUAAGGUUUAUCAUUUACGCUGAUAUUAUUUCUGUGCAAUUCAGGAUGUUUUGA